GUGGCCGGAAGCGGAAGUCCUGUGCAGGUGCCACCAUGGCGGCCCCGGGGGCGGCGGACGGGGGAGGCUCCGGAGACUCCGCGGGGCCCGCGACGGUGACCCCCGGUGUCCCCGCAGUGUCGUGGCGGGUGAAGUACGCCAGCCUGGGCGUGCUGGUGCUGCAGAACGCGUCGCUGGUGCUCAGCAUCCGCUACGUGCGCACGCUGCCCGGGGAGCGCUUCCUGCCCACCACCGCCGUGGUGAUGGCCGAGGCCAUGAAGGGCAGCGCCUGCCUGCUGCUGCUGCUCAUCCAGCACCGGGGCAGUGUCCGGCAGACGGCGGUGACGCUGCACGAGGCCGUGGUGGGACAGUUUGGGGACACGCUGCGCCUGGCUGUCCCCUCCCUCAUCUACACCCUGCAGAACAACCUGCAGUACGUGGCCAUCUCCAACCUGCCCGCCGCCACCUUCCAGGUGACGUACCAGCUGAAGAUCCUGACCACGGCGCUGUUCUCGGUGCUGCUGCUGGGCACGGCGCUGUCGCGGCUGCAGUGGCUGUCGCUGGCGCUGCUCUUCGCGGGGGUGGCGCUGGUGCAGGCGGAGCAGGCGCGGGCCGUGCCCCCUCCGGCGGCGCUGGCGCCGUCCGCGGGCCCCGAGGGGCCGGCGCAGAGCUACGCCGUGGGGCUGGCGGCCGUGGCCGCCUCCUGCCUGUCCUCGGGCUUCGCCGGCGUCUACUUCGAGCGGCUGCUGAAGCGCUCGGGCGGCUCCAUCUGGCUGCGCAACGUGCAGCUGGGCGCCGUGGGCACGGCCGUGGGGCUGGGCGCCAUGCUGGCCGCCGAGGGCCCGGCCGUGGCCGCGCUCGGCUUCUUCUACGGCUACAACGGCGCCGUGUGGGCCGUGGUGGUCAACCAGGCGGCCGGGGGGCUGCUGGUGGCCGUGGUGGUCCGCUACGCCGACAACAUCCUCAAGGGCUUCGCCACGGCGCUGUCCAUCCUGGCCUCCACGGCCGCCUCGGCGCACCUCUUCGGCUUCCGGCCGCGCGCGCCCUUCCUGGCCGGCACCGCCAUGGUGCUGGCCGCCGUGGUGCUCUACGGGCGGCCCCGCGGCCAGGCCGGCCACCGCGGCCAGGACGGCGGCAAGUCAGUGGGGCCCUAGGGAGCCCUGGGGACAGCCGGGGGCCACCGGGACGGGGAGGGGACGGGGGGCCGUGAGCGGGGCGGGGACCCGGCUGAGGGGUCGGCAGGUGAGGGGUCAGCAGUGAGGGGCUGGCAGGUGAAGGGUCAGCAGGUGAGGGUGCCCAGGUGAGGGGUCAGCAGGUGAGGGUGCCCAGGUGAGGGGUCAGCAGUGAGGGAACCCGCUGAGAGGUCGGCAGGUGAGGGGUCAGCAGGUGAAGGUCCAGCAGGUGGCAGGGGCUCAUUAGGCUCAUUAGGCUUAUUAGGCUCAUUAGGGCUCGUCAGGGUGGUGGAGGAGCUCAGGGGUCCCCAGGGUUAGCGGGGGGGGGGGACCCCGAUCUUGGCCUUGUUUGGGUGGUGGGGGCUCGUUACGGCUCGUUAGGGACCUGCAGAGACUCAUUAAUUAUGGGCAGCUCAUUAAGGCGAUUUGGGUGCUGGGGGACCCUGAGGUGGAGAUUAAUGAGGUCAGAGGUUAAUGAGGGGCUCAUUGGGACCCCGCCCCCUCUGUGGGGAUCCCCUCCCCCCCAGCCCCCCCGCCCGGUGGGGGAGGGGCCGGAUGUACAGAUUUUGUAGGGGGGAGGGGCCGGGCGCGUUUUUAACGAGCUUUGGGGCUAAUAAAGGCGGAUUUGGUUAAAGCGCGUGUGGGGGGGCACUAACACACUAACACGGGCUGGGAGCCAUGGGGGGCUGCCCGGGGCCAUAUAGAAUCCAUAGGGGACACUUCCCAGGCCAUACAGCAUCCAUAGGUACUCUCCCCAGAUGCCACAAGAGCCCCCCAGGGCCGUGUGGGAUCCAUAGGGGACUGCCCAGAGCUGUACAGGAUCCAUAGGGGACUGCCCGGGGCUGUACAGGAUCAAUAGGGGACUGCCCGCGGCUGUAGGGGAUCCCGCAGAGCUUUCCCAGCCCCUAUAGACCCCCCUGGAGCUCCCCGGGCCCUACAGGAUCCAUAGGGUCCCUCAGGGUCUCUCUCUCUUGCAGGUCUCCCAGCAAGGCCAAGGGCACCUGACGGCUCCGAGCGACCCCCCGGGCCCUAUAGGAUCCAUAUGGACCCUCCCCCCCGGGCCCUAUAGCAUCCAUAUGGACCCUCCCCCCCAGUCCCUUUGGGGGCCAUAUGGACCCUCCCUCUCCUGGGGGCUAUAGGGACCCUCCCCCCCACUCCCUAUAGGGGACUCAGGGAUGCUCCUGGUCCCCAUAGGAGCCCUAUGGCCGCUCUCCCUCGCCCCCGGGAGCUAUAGGGUCCCCUCCAGUCCCUAUAGGGGCCAUAGGGUCCCCCCGCGCGUUUUUGAGGUGAAUUAAGAGGAUUUUGGUCAAA